rnacentral:rRNA from 1 species
GUAGGUGGCAAGCGUUGUCCGGAUUUAUGGGUUUAAAGGGUGCGUAGGCGGCCCUGUAAGUCAGUGCUGAAAUAUCCCGGCUUAACCGGGAGGGUGGCAUUGAUACUGCAGGGCUUGAGUAAAGUUGAGGUUGGCGGAAUUGACGGUGUAGCGGUGAAAUGCUUAGAUAUCGUCAAGAACACCGAUAGUGAAGACAGCUAACUAAGCUUUAACUGACGCUGAGGCACGAAAGUGUGGGGAGUCAAACAGGAUUAGAUACCCUGGUAGUCCACACUGUAAACGUUGAUUACUCGAUGUUGGCGAUACUCAGUCAGCGUCUUAGCGCAAGCGAUAAGUAAUCCACCUGGGGAGUACGCCGGCAACGGUGA